rnacentral:rRNA from 1 species
GCGUUAAUCGGAAUUACUGGGCGUAAAGCGUGCGCAGGCGGUUCGUUGUGUCCGGUGUGAAAUCCCCGAGCUUAACUUGGGAAUGGCAUUGGAAACUGGCGAGCUGGAGUGUGGCAGAGGGGGGUGGAAUUCCACGUGUAGCAGUGAAAUGCGUAGAGAUGUGGAGGAACACCGAUGGCGAAGGCAGCCCCCUGGGCCAACACUGACGCUCAGGCACGAAAGCGUG